UACGGGGGGGGCAAGCGUUGUUCGGAAUUACUGGGCGUAAAGGGCUCGUAGGUGGCCAACUAAGUCGGACGUGAAAUCCCUCGGCUUAACCGGGGAACUGCGUCCGAUACUGGUUGGCUUGAGUUUGGGAGAGGGAUGCGGAAUUCCAGGUGUAGCGGUGAAAUGCGUAGAGAUGUGGAGGAACACCGAUGGCGAAGGCAGCCUCCUGGGCCAGCACUGACGCUCAUGCACGAAAGCGUGGGGAGCAAACAGG
rnacentral:rRNA from 1 species